ACACAUGCAGCCGAGCGGUAGGAGAUCUUUCGGGAUCUUGAGAGCGGCGUACGGGUGCGGAACACGUGUGCAACCUGCCUUUAUCGGGGGGAUAGCCUUUCAAAAGGAAAAUCUACCCCAUAAUAUAUUGAGUGGCAUCACUUAAUAUUGAAAACUCCGGUGGAUAGAGAUGGGCACGCGCAACAUUCGAUAGUUGGUGAGGUAACGGCUCACCAAGUCUGCGAUCUUUAAGGGGCCUGAGAGGGUGAUCCCCCACACUGGUACUGAGACACGUGACCAUACUCCUACCGGAGGCAGCAGUGAGGAAUAUUGUACAAUGGGUGCGAGCCUGAUCCAGCCAUCCCGCGUGAAGGACCACAGCCCUAUGCGUUGUAAACUUCUUUUGUAUAUGGAUAAACCUACUCUCGUGAGAUUAGCUGAAAGUACUAUCCUAAUAAUCACCGGCUACCUCCGUGCCACCUACCGCGGAAAUCCCGAGGGUGCACGCGUUAUCCGGAUUUAUUGGAUUUAAAGGGCCCGUAUGCGGAUCAAUAAGUCAGUGUUGAAAUCUCACAGCUUAACUGUGAAAUUGCAAUUGAUACUGCACGUCUUGAGUGUUGUUGAAGUAGCUGGAAUAAGUAGUGUAGCGGUGAAAUGCAUAGAUAUUACUUAGAACACCAAUUGCGAAGGCAGGUUACUAAGCAACAACUGACGCUGAUGGACGAAAGCGUGGGGAGCGAACAGAGAUUAGAUACCCUGGUAGUCCACGCCGUAAACGAUGCUAACUCGUGUUUGUGUUUUCCGAUUCCGAGACUAAGCGAAUGUGAUAAGUUA
rnacentral:rRNA from 1 species